AAAGGAAUUGACGGGGGCCCGCACAAGCGGUGGAGCAUGUGGUUUAAUUCGACGCAACGCGAAGAACCUUACCUGGGCUUGAACUGCAGUGGACCGGUAUAGAGAUAUGCCUUUUCGCAAGAACUGCUGCAGAGGUGCUGCAUGGCUGUCGUCAGCUCGUGUCGUGAGAUGUUGGGUUAAGUCCCGCAACGAGCGCAACCCUUACCCGUAGUUGCCAGCGGUUCGGCCGGGAACUCUACGGGGACUGCCCGGGUUAACCGGGAGGAAGGUGGGGAUGAUGUCAAGUCCUCAUGGCCCUUAUGUCCAGGGCUACACACGUGCUACAAUGGGCGGUACAAACCGUUGCAAAGCCGCGAGGUGGAGCUAAUCGGAGAAAGCCGUCCUCAGUUCGGAUUGCAGUCUGCAACUCGACUGCAUGAAGUUGGAAUCGCUAGUAAUCGUGUAUCAGAAUGAUACGGUGAAUACGUUCCCGGGCCUUGUACACACCGCCCGU
rnacentral:rRNA from 1 species